rnacentral:rRNA from 1 species
GACGAACGCUGGCGGCGUGCUUAACACAUGCAAGUCGAACGGAAAGGCCUGCUUUCCCUUGUGGAUUGCGGGUGCUCGAGUGGCGAACGGGUGAGUAACACGUGAGUGAUCUGCCCCCAACUUGGGUAUAAGCCUGGGAAACUGGGUCUAAUUCCCGAUAGGACUGCAGGGUGGUGCCUGUGGUGGAAAACGAUUUUCUAGUGGUUGGGGAUGAGCUCGCGGCCUAUCAUCUUGUUGGUGGGGUAAUGGCCUACCAAGGCGGCGACGGGUAGCCGGCCUGAGAGGGUGGACGGCCACAUUGGGACUGAGAUACGGCCCAGACUCCUACGGGAGGCAGCAGUGGGGAAUAUUGCACAAUGGGCGGAAGCCUGAUGCAGCGACGCCGCGUGGGGGAUGACGGCCUUCGGGUUGUAAACUCCUUUCGACCGCGAGGAAGCCACCUGGUUGGAAGGGUGGUGACGGUAGUGGUAGAAGAAGCACCGGCUAACUACGUG